rnacentral:lncRNA from 10 species
CUUUGUGUGGCAUUUCCAGCAUUGCCGGGCCCCUGCCCACCUCCAGCCUUAUUUCCUCCUUCUCUGCCCUGCCUGUACCAAAGAACUCAAGACUCUCAUCUUUCAGGUUCCUUUUGUCUCAUGGAGCUCAGUUUCUCCUCUCACCUUCAGUCAAUUCUCCAAGCAAAUAUUAAACAUGUCCUGCAAAUCUCAGGAAUCAGCACACAGAGAAACACAAAGAAGAGUAAGUGGCCUUCUUCCAAGACCUGGUUUAUCAAAGGUCUGAGGCAGUCCUGAUCCGCUGCUCUCCUCCUGCUGGCUGAGCCUUGCCACUGGCUCAGUGGCCCAGGGUGCCAGCUCCCUUUCCUGGGCCUCCCGGGAAAGGGGAGGGAGAAGGUCGAGGGAGCAAGAGGGUUCCAGGGCUGCCUCCAGGGCUGGCCUGGCAAGUUGCAGCUCUGUCCCUGGCGAUUUCCCUGCAGCCAAUGGCUGUGGAAGAGGAAAGGAGAGGACCUUUUGAUGUGGUGGAGAAGCAUCAUUGUAGAAGGGAGAGGAAUAAGUAAAAGGUUGGCCAGGGAACCAUGGCCGGGCACGGUGGCUCCUGCCUGUAUUCCCAGCACUUUGGGAGGCCAAGGUGGGCAGAUCACUUGAGGCCAGGAGUUCAAGACCAGCCUGGCCAACAUGGUGAAACCCCUUCUCUACUAAAAAUACAAAAAUUAGCCGGGCGUGGUGGUGAGCACCUGUAGUCUCAGCUACUUGGGAGGCUGAGGCAGGAGAAGCACUUGAACCCGGGAAGCGGAGGUUGCAGUGAGCCGAGAUCGCGCCACUGUACUCCAGCCUGGGCGACAGAGUGAGUGAGACUCCGUCUCAAAAAAAAAAAAAAAAAAGUAAAAUGUUGGCCAGGGAGCCUUGCUGGCCUCCUGAAGGCAGCCAAACAUUAAACACACCUACAGUCACAGAGUCCAGCUUAAGGAAGAGGCAGACCAGAAAGUGAAAGUGAAGAAAGAACGGGAGGAGAGAUGGGUGGGGGCGCGGAUCAAGGCAGAAAAGGGAGGCAAAAGGCAAGGCUCCUAGGGACAGAGAGUGGUGACAUGCCAGCUUCUGUUCGUUAAAACCCUGCUCUGGACCAUGAACACUGCUAGGCAAUUUCGUUAUGACAGCUCCUUGCAUCCUCCCAGCAUUUUACAGCUAAGGAAACUGAAGACCGUGAGGUUAAAUUCUUCACCCGAGGUCCACAGCUAGGGAUUAGCAGAAUCAGUGUUUGAACCCAAGGCUGCCUGACUCCAGUGUCACACCCAAACUGUUCCUGUCUCUCUGUUAGCAGUUCUUAGUUGCUGGGGAUUCAGACUCUAUUUUGUUGCUUGUGUAGUUCAAUACAGCUCCCCCCACUGUGGCCACAUUGCAGCCUACAGAUGCAAUAAAAAGGAGGGGAAGGCAUGCAUUUCCUUUAAGGGUACACCUGAGGUCAGGAGUUCGAGAUCAGCCUGACCAACAUGGAGAAACACAACUCUACUAAAAAUACAAAAUUAGCUGGGCAUUGUGGUGCAUGCCUGUAAUCCCAGCUACCCGGGAGGCCAAGGCAGGAGAAACGCUUGAACCCAGGAGGCAGAGGUUGCGGUGAGCCAAGGUUGUGGUGAGCCGAGAUCACACCAUUGUACUCCAGCCUGGGCAACAAGAGCGAAACUCCAUCCAUCUCAAAAAAAAAAAAAAAAUGCUGUGAAUCUUGAACAGAGAAUGCAAUAGACAGCAAGAAAGGUCUGGUGGCAUCUUCGAAGGAGCCUUCAUCUCCUAUACUUUCAGGGUGGAUAUGAUGGAAGACUCAGCCCAGGGCCUCAUUGUGCAUGUAGGAGUUCCAAGUAAAUGCUUAGGAAAGGGCAUAGUGGGGACGUAGUGGGACCCUGAGACUUAGAAUAGGAGCAUCUAAGUGGUCACAGACAAGGCUGAGACUCUGGCACUUUUGAAUUCUCAAAUCCUUCAAAGCUCCCUUGUCUGUUCAGGCAGGUCCUCCCGUGUAGAGGUAACCAACUUAUCCCUGCCUAAGGAACCUUCUGUGACUGCACCUAGGACAGUUGCUUCACUAAAAAGGGACACCAGAUCUUCUCUUCAUUCCUCCAGCAUCAAAAGGAGAGUUAGAUCCCAACAUAGCCCACUUGGGCAGUACAAGGCCUGCUCUAGAAAGAGAAUGUCUAUACACUAAAGAAGUGGCAGGACCUUGCCAGUUCAAAUCCACAAGGGUCUUGGGAGCACGUGUCGGAGAGGAUUCUAAGCAUUGUGUUAGCCUAAAGAUGGUAAACACAAGGCUUGGCUGGGCACAGAGCCUCGUGCCUGUAAUUCCAGCACUUUGGGAGGCUGAGGCGGGCGGAUCACUCUUCAAACUCCUCAAACUCAGGAGUUUGAGACCAGCCUGGCCAACAUGGUGAAACCUGUUUCUACUAAAAAUACAAAAAAUUAGCUGGGCGUGGUGGUGGGUGCAUGCCUGUAGUCUCAGCUACUCGGGAAGCUGAGGCAGGAGAAUCGCUUGAACCCAGGAGGCAGAGGUUGCAGUGAGCCGAGAUCGUGCCAUUGCACUCCAGCCUGGGUGAAAAAGUGAGAAUCU